GCCCAGGACCUUCCUCAGCCCCAGCACCUGAACUGGAUCCUCUCUGAGCUGCUGCCAGCUCCAAGGGAUUACAAGUGAAUAAUUCAGGUUCGAUGCCGUUUGAAGUUUCAGGGAAGGAAGUGGCAUGUGAAGCCUGCUCCCCACACCUGUCCCAGGGCCACGCUGCUCCAAAGGCAAUCUGAAGAACACCCUGAGGAGCCACACUCUGAACAUUUCUGUGUGGAUGUUGCCUUCCGAGCUCCUGGCAGCCUCGACUGAGGCUGUUUGUACAGGCUGCAGCUCUGCACAGGGGCAGCUCCCCAGCACCAGAGGAUUGCUGCAAGGCUUGAGAGUGCCGUGGAAUGAAGCGCAGCAUCCUGCUUGCCAGCCCAGGUCCAGGAGGGGUUAAAUGCCGGACUGCUGUGUCUGUUCCAGCUGCAGUGAAGCAUAGAGAAGGCAAUGGACAAACAUGACCUGCUGUAAACGAAUUUACAACUGAACGUAAGUCAAAAGCUGAAUGGCUGUCAGAAGCUG
rnacentral:lncRNA from 1 species